ACGGGUGAGUAACGCGUGAGCAACCUGCCUCAAACAGGGGGAUAACGCAUCGAAAGAUGUGCUAAUACCGCGUAAGACCACGGCAUCACAUGGUGCAGGGGUCAAAGGAGCAAUCCGGUUUGAGAUGGGCUCGCGUCCGAUUAGCUAGUUGGUGAGAUAACAGCCCACCAAGGCGACGAUCGGUAGCCGACCUGAGAGGGUGAUCGGCCACAUUGGAACUGAGAUACGGUCCAGACUCCUACGGGAGGCAGCAGUGGGGAAUAUUGGGCAAUGGGCGAAAGCCUGACCCAGCAACGCCGCGUGAGGGAAGAAGGGUUUCGGCUCGUAAACCUCUGUCCUAUGGGACGAAGGAAGUGACGGUACCAUAGGAGGAAGCCCCGGCUAACUACGUGCCAGCAGCCGCGGUAAUACGUAGGGGGCGAGCGUUGUCCGGAAUGAUUGGGCGUAAAGGGCGCGUAGGCGGCCUGAUAAGUCUGGAGUGAAAGUCCUGCUUCCAAGGUGGGAAUUGCUUUGGAUACUGUUGGGCUGGAGUGCAGGAGAGGAAAGCGGAAUUACCGGUGUAGCGGUGAAAUGCGUAGAGAUCGGUAGGAACACCAGUGGCGAAGGCGGCUUUCUGGACUGUAACUGACGCUGAGGCGCGAAAGCGUGGGGAGCAAACAGGAUUAGAUACCCUGGUAAGUCCACGCUGUAAACGAUGAAUGCUAGGUGUAGGAGGUAUCGACCCCUUCUGUGCCGCAGUCAAACACAAUAAGCAUUCCGCCUGGGGA
rnacentral:rRNA from 1 species